GCAAGUGUGGCAUAGUGGUUUGAGCACUUGACUAUGACUCUGGAGACCAGGUUUCAAAUCACUGCUUAGCCA
rnacentral:tRNA from 1 species